rnacentral:rRNA from 1 species
GCAAGUCGAGCGCGGGAAGCGAGUGGAUCCCUUCGGGGUGACGCUCGUGGAACGAGCGGCGGACGGGUGAGUAACACGUGGGCAACCUGCCUGUAAGAUCGGAAUAACCCCGGGAAACCGGGGCUAAUGCCGGGUAAUACUUUCUUUCGCAUGAAGGAAAGUUGAAAGAUGGCUUCUCGCUAUCACUUACAGAUGGGCCCGCGGCGCAUUAGCUAGUUGGUGAGGUAACGGCUCACCAAGGCGACGAUGCGUAGCCGACCUGAGAGGGUGAUCGGCCACACUGGGACUGAGACACGGCCCAGACUCCUACGGGAGGCAGCAGUAGGGAAUCUUCCGCAAUGGACGAAAGUCUGACGGAGCAACGCCGCGUGAACGAUGAAGGUCUUCGGAUCGUAAAGUUCUGUUGUUAGGGAAGAACAAGUACCGUGCGAAUAGAGCGGUACCUUGACGGUACCUAACGAGGAAGCCCCGGCUAACUACGUGCCAGCAGCCGCGGUAAUACGUAGGGGGCAAGCGUUGUCCGGAAUUAUUGGGCGUAAAGCGCGCGCAGGCGGUUCCUUAAGUCUGAUGUGAAAGCCCACGGCUCAACCGUGGAGGGUCAUUGGAAACUGGGGAACUUGAGGACAGAAGAGGAGAGUGGAAUUCCACGUGUAGCGGUGAAAUGCGUAGAUAUGUGGAGGAACACCAGUGGCGAAGGCGACUCUCUGGUCUGUUUCUGACGCUGAGGUGCGAAAGCGUGGGUAGCAAACAGGAUUAUAUACCCUGGUAUUCCACGCCGUAAAACGAUGAGUGCUAGGUGUUAGGGGGCUUCCACCCCUUAGUGCUGA